rnacentral:lncRNA from 1 species
UCGAUUUUGGUAAGGCAGUCUCAAUGCAUAGUUUUAUGGCAUAGUUACCAAGACUAUAAAUUAGGUAACCGAGCCACAAUAGUAGAAAACCCGAGCAAUUGUAUGAUCCGAAAGUGUUUUAGGUUACACGAAGUCUAAAAACUUUGACAAGUCAUUGUUUUUUCGGCUCCUCCAAACAUGACUCGACUCGAUUUUGGUAAGGCAGUCUCAAUGCAUAGUUUCAUAGCAUAGUUACCAAGACUAUAAACUAGGUAACCGAGCCAUAAUAGUUUUAUGGGGAUGAAACUCUUCUCUCAUCUGACGAAACUCCUUCAUUUAAUGACUCUGACAAGUCAGCAAUUUUGCUUAUGUGGCACCAUAUUUAAUGUGCAUGACACUCUCAUGAAACAUGCAUUGAGACUGGCCUAAUAGGGUCUUGUUGUUGGUGAAAAAUUUUGGCUUUGGAUAUCUUUCGUUUGUAUUUGAUAAUUG